rnacentral:tRNA from 1 species
UUUUGACAUUCUCUGAUGGAGAGUCUGUGUUUCGGCCACAGAAUCGGUGAUUUAAGUGUCUCUGUCAAAUG